GGCGGACGGGUUAGUAACGCGUGGGAAUAUGCCCGACACUAAGGAAUAGCCUCUGGAAACGGAGAGUAAUACCUUAUACGCCCUUCGGGGGAAAGAUUUAUCGGUGACGGAUUAGCCCGCGUUAGAUUAGAUAGUUGGUGGGGUAAUGGCCUACCAAGUCUACGAUCUAUAGCUGGUUUUAGAGGAUGAUCAGCAACACUGGGACUGAGACACGGCCCAGACUCCUACGGGAGGCAGCAGUGGGGAAUCUUGGACAAUGGGCGCAAGCCUGAUCCAGCCAUGCCGCGUGAGUGAUGAAGGCCUUAGGGUCGUAAAGCUCUUUCGUCAGAGAUGAUAAUGACAGUAUCUGGUAAAGAAACCCCGGCUAACUCCGUGCCGGCAGCCGCGGUAAUACGGAGGGGGUUAGCGUUGUUCGGAAUUACUGGGCGUAAAGCGCGCGUAGGCGGAUUAGUCAGUUAGAGGUGAAAUCCCGGGGCUCAACCCCGGAACUGCCUUUAAUACUGCUAGUCUUGAGUUCGAGAGAGGUGAGUGGAAUUCCGAGUGUAGAGGUGAAAUUCGUAGAUAUUCGGAGGAACACCAGUGGCGAAGGCGGCUCACUGGCUCGAUACUGACGCUGAGGUGCGAAAGUGUGGGGAGCAAACAGGAUUAGAUACCCUGGUAGUCCACACCGUAAACGAUGAAUGCCAGUCGUCGGGUAGCAUGCUAUUCGGUGACACACCUAACGGAUUAAGCAUUCC
rnacentral:rRNA from 1 species